UUUACACUGAGUUGAAUUCAUUAUACUUUUAGUUAUUAAUAACAUUUUAUCAAAAUGCAGUAACCUACUUAAAAUGUACUGAAAAAAAUCAUUUCUUCUGCAUAUCUUUACAUUACUGUCAUAGUGAAAUUGAUUACUGGAAAUAUAGUAUGAAUAUAGUUUAUUGUGGUUACAGGAAUGGCAGGAAGAGGUUUUUUAAAGAGCCGUUUGGCUCAGGUCACCACUCCUAAAGAACCCGAGGAACUACCUAAACACGUGGAACCCCCUAAACCCGUGGAAUCACUUAAAACUGAUGAAUCUCUACAAUUACCGACUCAAUCAAUACCAUAUACUGGAGUGCCAAAAAUUCCGAUUCCGGCUAUAAGUACUCAAACUUUAGUUGCUGGUAAUCAACAAGUUGUUCGUGGAAGAAGGGCCAUGUUAGCUAAUAUUGCACAAGGGACUGGUUCUCAAAAAAUGUGUGAAAACUUAACAUCAACAUUCUCAAAGAUCGAUCUUGUGUGUCCAACUAUUAAACCAGUAAAUACCAAUACAGAAGUAUCUAAAUUACUUUCACCUCCAAAACAGCCAAAACCACAAAUCAUAGAUAUUCCAGCAGAAAAAGAAGAAAAUUCUCCAGUAAUAUAUCGAGUCUUAAAAAAAUCCGAUAAAGAUUCUUUCCACAUGACCCAAUUAUCUUCAAAUUACAUAAGAAUUAAGCUGGAAGAAGACAAAGGAAUAUACGAAUAUAGAGUCGAUUUCCAUCCUCCAGUUGAUGCAAAAUCUGCUAGGUUUUUCUUAGUUAAUGAACAUAGAGAUAAAUUUCCUGUUAAAACAUUUGAUGGGACAUUACUUUAUUUACCAAAAAUGCUACCAGAUAAAGUAACAACAUUAGUGGGAAAAUUAAGAGAUGAAUCUGAAGUGACUUUAACAAUAUCAUUUAAGCGUAAAAAUUCUUUGCGUGAAUGUAUACAUUUUUAUAAUGUUUUUCUUCGUACAAUAAUGAAGAUUCUAGGCCUAGUAGAAUUUGGUAGAAGUUGUUAUGAUCAAAAUAAAAGGAUACUCAUACCCGAGUUUAAACUUGAAGUUUGGCCAGGCUAUAUAACUACUAUUGAUGAGUUUCAAAAUGGUCUUUAUAUGUGUUGUGAAGUUUCGCACAGAAUUUUACGUGUACAAACAGUUCUUCAAAUAAUGACAGAAAUCAUGAUGAAUUCCAAAAACAACAACUCAGAUAGUAAGCAAGAAAUAAUGGCUGCAUUGUGUGGUUCUACAGUAAUUACACAUUACAAUCGUAAGACGUACAGAGUUGAUGAUGUAGACUUUUCAAUAAAUCCUUUAACAACUUUUGAUCAAAAUGGUGUUCAAGUAUCAUAUAAAGAUUAUUAUAAAAAGAUGUAUGACAUUGAAAUUAAAAAUCUUAAUCAGCCUAUGAUUGUAACAAAAGCAAAAAAAAAAGACGUGAAUAAAAAAAAUGCAACAGAGGAUUCAGAUAUUUGUUGCUUAGUUCCUGAACUUUGUAAUUUAACUGGUCUAACUGAAGCAAUGAAAUCGGAUUUUAAAUUAAUGAAGGCUCUUCAAAACCAUACUUUGGUUACACCAGAAGUGCGACAAAAUGCUAUAAUUGAUUUUGUUAAUCGUAUAAAUGCUCAUGAAGUUGCUAGCAAAAAAUUUAAUGAUUGGGGUCUUAUGAUGCGUCCAAUACCAGUGAAAAUGGAAGGACCUGUUUAUAAAAAAGAAACUAUAUUACUGGGGAAUAAUAUCAGAAAACCGGUUGGAAUGAAUAUGGACUGGGGAAUGGAUGUAGCAAAAAAUGCAAUGUUUGUUGCUGUUAAUAUGUUAAAUUGGGCUAUUAUGUAUAAUCCAAGAGAUGAACCAACAGCUAAAGCAUUUUGCAAACAAUUGUCUUUAUGCAGCCGUGCUCUUGGUAUGGAAAUUAAUUCACCAAAGCCCAUUAAAGUUCCAGGCCCAAAUCCAGAAGUUUAUGUUAGUACAAUAAACAACACAAUAAAAAAUAACCCAGAUAUACAAUUAGUUGUUAUUAUAUUCCCUAACCAAAGAGAAGACCGUUAUAAUGCCGUUAAACGAAUUUGUUGUUCAGAAAUUGGUAUUCCAUCUCAAGUGAUAAUCUCAAGAACAUUAUCCAAGCCAGAUAAAUUACAAUCUAUUACUCAAAAAAUUGCUUUACAAAUUAAUUGUAAAUUAGGAGGUGCUUGUUGGGCUAUUGAUAUUCCAUUGAAAAAUACUAUGAUUGUAGGAAUUGAUGUAUACCACGAAAAAGGUAAACAAAUGAGUAGUGUGGUUGGUUUUGUAGCUUCGAUGGAUAAGACAUUUACUGAAUGGUAUUCAGUUGCUGCAAUGCAAAGAAGUACUCAUCAAGAACUUAUGAAAUCUAUGCAAGAUGCUUUCCAUAAAGUUGUUUGCCAGUUUAAAAUAAAAAAUGGGUUGUUACCUGAAAAAAUAAUUAUAUAUAGAGAUGGUGUAUCUGAUGGUGAUUUAAAACAAGUAGAAGAGAUUGAACUAUCAGAUUUGAUUGAAUCUUUCAGAAGUUACCCGGGAAAUUAUAAUCCUAUGGUUUCUUUAAUAAUUGUACAGAAACGUAUUAACACUAGAGUGUUCCAGUAUGUAAAUGAAAAGUAUUCAAAUCCAAGUUCUGGAACUGUUAUUGACAAUACUGUAACCAGAAGAAAUUAUUUUGAUUUUUUUUUGGUUUCUCAACAUGUGCGUCAGGGUACUGUUAACCCUACUCAUUACAUUGUUUUAAAAAAUGGAUGUAAUUUGAGUGUUGAAAAUGUUCAAAGAUUAUCUUACAAGUUGUGUCACUUGUAUUACAAUUGGUGUGGCACAGUAAAAGUUCCUGCUCCUGUUCAAGACCUGAAUGCGUGACGAGUAAACGAAAUCAAGAAGAAGGCCGUCUUGUGCGGAGUGGAGUUUUGCUUGACGUUUGUGGCAGUAUUAUAAUACGUCAUAAUUUAAACGCAUACCAAUACACAAAACUGUUUUCGCGCUAAAAAUAAAAUUCAUUCGCCGAAAUGUGUCCUUUCACCGAAAUGCCUUUCGCCAAAAAGACCGGUUGCAUCUUGUACGGAAUUCUAUUUGCGAUCAAAAGUAAUUGCUAAAAAAUAGCAUACAAUCAGUGUUGUUUCCGGCAGAG
rnacentral:misc_RNA from 1 species